CAUAAUACCCUAACAUCACAAAAGCCGACAACAUGCUCGAUCUGCUGCUUCUCCAUCGAACACAGUUACAGGUACACAAAGAGGCUUCAAAAUAGAGAAACAAACCAUUUUCUCAUUUUGAAGACUUGUCUUAUGUUUCUGGAAAAGAUCGUGCUCAUGGAAAUCAGGCAAGAGACUAUGAUGGUUUAGAAGAAAAUGCUGACAUGGAAGAUUACCAGAUGCCCUUUCAAGAACAACAAUCUGAUAAAAACAUGGACUAUCCGACAGAAGAUAGCCAAAUGCCAAGUCAAGAGUCUACAUUUCAAGGUAGUAGAAAGCGCAAGGGUCGAGGUGAUCCUCUUAUUGAUGUAAUAACUAAUGUUGCUGUUAUGCUUGGAGAUAGACUUUUAAAAUCAUCGGACAAGUUGGUACAAGUUGAGAUAGAUUUACAUCAAAAGACUUCCAUGGUUGGUUCUGAACUCGCCAAAAUGAAUUUUACUUCAAUGGAAAAGUUUAAAGCACUGAGAAAAAUAAUACGUGAACCUCAAUCCGUGUUAAGCUUCUGGAACUAUGAAGGAGAAGCUCGAGAAGAGUUUGUGAGGUACAUUUUGCAAGAAUGAUUGUGCUUUUAAUCCUUUUUUGAAAACUAUGAAGCUAAAUGACUUUUGGAACAUGUAUUUGAACAUGCUUUAGUAUUUUGGCAUCAUAUGUACGAUUGUUUAAUGAUGGUGGCAUGUAAUUAUUUUGAACAUUUUUGAUGGAUUUUGAAGCAAUUUUAAUAUCUAUUUAGU